GAACUAUUAAAGAAAUAUUAUUUUAGCUUAAACAGAUCAUUUUCAGAGAUUAUAGACACAAGAGUAUAGAGAUCAUCCGAAUCCCAUCAUAACAGCAGAUGCCCUGUAGAGAAAAUCAUGAUAUUUGGUUGUCUUCAAGUUCAGCAAUUUUUUAUUCACUAAGCAUAAACCAACAAAUAUUUUUCUACUAGAAUAUGUUUGGCAGCUCUCUUUCAAGAAUCAACAGAAUCCUGCAGAAGCAUGUAUUUGGACAGUAGAUACGUACACUUGUGAUAAGUAUAAAACAUGAAGUGUAGACAACAGAUUGAUACCAAGCGAG
rnacentral:misc_RNA from 1 species